rnacentral:rRNA from 1 species
UACGAAGGGUGCAAGCGUUAAUCGGAAUUACUGGGCGUAAAGGGUGCGUAGGUGGUUGUUUAAGUCUGUCGUGAAAUCCCCGGGCUCAACCUGGGAAUGGCGAUGGAUACUGGGCAGCUAGAGUGUGUCAGAGGAUGGUGGAAUUCCCGGUGUAGCGGUGAAAUGCGUAGAGAUCGGGAGGAACAUCAGUGGCGAAGGCGGCCAUCUGGGACAACACUGACGCUGAAGCACGAAAGCGUGGGGAGCAAACAGG